ensembl:lncRNA
GUCAUUACAACAGUUCAAAUGAGAGGACGAGAAGGAGAGAUUGAACCAAGUGAGUAGCAAAAGAAUGGAAAGGAAAGUUUAGAUUAGAAAACAUAUCGAGAAAGAAUAAAAAAGGCGAUAAAAUGUAGUGGAUAGGAGAAGAGCUGGGGGUGAUGAGAUGAGGAUGACAUCAAGCUUUCCAGCUUGAGCCAAAGGUGGAUGCUGAAAUUGACAAAGUGAGAAGUUGAACAGGUUUGGGGAAAGCUGUGCGUGUGGGAGGAGGAUAAAAGGAGCUGUUUAGAAGAUGAGUAAAAGGAGACCAUGUUUCUUCAGAGAGGUUAAGAAGUUGAGUAUAAGGGCCUCCUGUGAGAGGAAACAGAAGAAGACAUGGUUUUCCAGAGAGCUGACCCGGUUCCGUCCUGACUGCUGCUUACUGUGAUAACCGCCCCCCCUAAGCCUUGUGCCUCAACUCUACGAUGAGCAUAAUACUACUACUUCAGAGGGGUGUUGUGAGAUUUAAAUAUGGUAAAAUCCGUAAACAGGUGGCAUAUGGGCAGUGUCAGUUGAUGUGAGCUGUCUUUUCUCCCCCACCUCUCCUGAAUUAGGAGGAAAAAGACAAUAUGCUACCAAUCAGGCACGUUAGGAGGGUCAGAGCCACUCGGGGUCCCUCAGUCUCAUAUGGUGGGAAGAACGUCUAGAAUGACCUGGGCAACCUCGCAGUCAGCCUUCCUGAGGAGCUGCACCAUUGACAUUCGCCCAGGCUGCAGCCGCUCAGCUGGACCCAAGUUGGACUGAGACCAGAGCCUGGCAUUGUCCCUCAGGCUGGAGAGGAGUGUCAAGAGGGAACUGAAGAACAAAGACAGCAGAUUCUGAGCUUUUAAUUUCAAAGACUUGGAUUCAGGUAUUUUCAGGAGCUUGAGAUAAUCAGAUAAACUAGUACCCAUCCCACCUCCAUCUCCACUAAAUAAAGGUGCCCUAGGCUGGGGGAAAGGGUUGUUGAGGAGAGAAAGGAAAUAAGAGUUUGAAUUGACUGUGCAUGUGGUGGUGGUUGAAGGGAGGGAGGACUCUGAACCAGAGCCUGUCUUAUUUCCUGGGCCAGACCUGGGGAGGAGAUAAUAAUAUCCCCAAAAGGUUUGGUGGUCCCAGAGCAAAGUGACUCUGUUACUUGAUUCCCAGAGUGCAGCCUUGGGAAGAAGCUCCACGUCCGGUGUGUAUCUUUGAGGCCAAUAGACCUGAGGGAAACUCAUGGAGGCUCCAUCAGGCUCAGCCUCACCCCUCAAAGGGGUGUGGGAGAACACCCAAAGGUUUCAGUGGCCCACUGAGUAGGGCACGGAAGAGAGCAGACAGAGAGAGCCUACAACCCCUGGGAGCCAUGGCUGUCAGGUAGGGAGGGCACAGAGUAAGCUGCGUGGACCUGAAAGAUGGAGACCAGAAGUCCUUGGACAUGUCAGGAAAUGCCCAUGGGGCUGUGUGGAGAGCUGGCGGCAGCCAAGGGCCAUGAUGGGAGGACUGUGGGCAUCAUGGGAAUCAGGUGGACUGUUCUCCUCUGCAUGCCACACCCUCAGGUACACCCCUCAGCUCUUCUCUCUCUCAGUCCAGGGUUUUGGCCGUGAGUCUGUGUGGGUAAUCUUGUAUUUGUAUGUGUGUCAUCUUGUAUUUUGUUUGCUUACAAUUUUUUGAAAAUUAUACUUUAGCAUCCUUAGAGUCCCUCUCUAGACCUAAUAACUCACUUGGCAUAAAUAAGCAAACAAACUAAGCUGGCUCUAUCUAGCCCCGCUUAUUAGAAUGUGUGUGUGGGUACUUGUUGCCCUUCGUACUUGGUUGCAAUUCCAAGAGAGGAAACAUCUCACUUAAUAUCCUAUGUCAAGUAGGUAUUAUUUUUACCAUUUUACACAUGAAUAAAGUGUGGUUCAGAGAAGUAAAGUACAUUGCCCAAGCCCGCACAGCUAAUGGUAGCAGAGAUGGGAUUUGCACUCUGCAAGUUUCCCAAGACUCUGCUUUUCCGUCACAUCACACAAACUCCCUACUACUAGCCUAAGUCAAACAUCAAGUUGUAUAUGGAGAAAUAAUUCAACAUUGAAUAACCUUUCAGCACACACAUACAAACACAGAGAAAAGAAAAGAAAGAGUAGAAAGGAAAAUCUGCACUCAAUUCCAAACAAAACAAAACAAACUCAAACCCCAUAAAAUAAUAACUGCUUCCUUCCAUGCUUUAUCCACAGGCACCCCAAAUACAACAUGUCCCACACUGAGCUCAUGUCCUUUCUCCCACCCCAAUCUGCUCUUCCUCCUGUGUUUCUGAACUUGGUUGGUGGCAAUACCACCCAAACCAUGUCCCCUCAAAUUAGAAACCAAGUUGUCAUUUUUUACUUCUUUCUCUCUAACCCUCCUCUCCUUUAGUGCCAAACUAUUAGCCCUCAGAGUUGGAAUACUCUUCAGUAAAUCUUUUUCUUUCUGUUUAUUUCCUCUGCUGAUACUUAAGAGUGGCCUUCAGACUUUUUUUUACCUAAAUACCACCCAAAAUAAUUUUGAAAAACUAUGUAACUCCUAUAUAUUAGUAAGCUUCCCUCUAAAAUGUUUCAUCAUAAUUUCAAAUAUUUGCAAAGAAUCUAAUGCAACAUAUUAUGAAUACUGGCAUUUGAAAA